rnacentral:rRNA from 1 species
CCCGGUAGCUAAAUGCGGAAGAGAUAAGUGCUGAAAGCAUCUAAGCACGAAACUUGCCCCGAGAUGAGUUCUCCCUGACCCUUUAAGGGUCCUGAAGGAACGUUGAAGACGACGACGUUGAUAGGCCGGGUGUGUAAGCGCAGCGAUGCGUUGAGCUAACCGGUACUAAUGAACCGUGAGGCUUAACCUUACAACGCCGAAGCUGUU